UUGGAGGAUGUAAUAGCGAAAGCUGGUUGCAUUUAACUUAGCUUAAUUUAUUAAGCUAAGUUGGUGCAGGAUUGACUAUGUCGAAUAAAGUUCUAGGUGGGUUAUGAUGAUGACAUUUCCUAUCUAUGUGUCUUGACCAAAUUACGUGCCAGCAGUCGCGGUAACACGUUAUAGACUAGUGUUAUUCAUCUUUAAUAGGUUUAAAGCGUACCUAGACGGUAAAUCAAGUCCAACAAGGAUACUAAUUUUCUAGAGUUUAAUAUGAGGGGGCAUUAAAGUACUGAUAAGUGUAGAGAUGAAAUUCUGUGAUACAAUAUACGGCACUGGUAAAGGCGAAGGCAUCUCAUUAUGUAAUAACUGACGUUGAGGGACGAAGGCUAUGUGUAGCAAAAAGGAUUAGAUACCCAAGUAGUCUUAGCAGAAAAUUAUGAAUGUCAUAGGAUGGAAUAGAAAGUUGAAUGGAUAAACAACAGAUCCGUUCAACAGAUUUUUUUCUAUAAAUGAAAGUGUAAGCAUUCCACCUCAAGAGUAAUUUGGCAACAUUGGAACUGAAAUCAUUAGACCGUUUCUGAAACAAGUAGUGAAGUAUGUUGUUUAAUUAGAUGGUCCGCAAAAAACCUUACCACAAUUUGAAUAGAAUUAUUUUUUCAUACAAGCGCUGCACGGUUGUCUUCAGUUAAUGUCGUGAGAUCUUGGUUAGUUCCAUUAAAUUAACGUAGACCCUUACUUUAUUUUUUCAUAGAGUAGUUCACCGCUCGAUUGGAUAUGAUAACAGGGACUAAAACAAGUCAUCAUGGCCUUAA
rnacentral:rRNA from 1 species